rnacentral:misc_RNA from 1 species
AUUUUUUUUAGAAUACAAACAGAUAGGAAAUCAAUUUGUAAAGUACAAGAGGAUUUAAAAUUUAUUAUUUUUAUUUUUUUAGAAUUUGAAAAUGGAUUGACAAUUCACUGAUAAUACAAACAGAAUUUUGUCUGUAAAUAUAAAUGGAUUUUAAAUCCGUUGGUGAAGAAUUGCAAAUCAGGAUUAUACAAAUCGACUUUGAUCUGUUUACAAUCUAUUUGUAAAUAAUUUUAUAAAUGGAUUUUUCGACAUUAAUUAUAAACGAAAAUAGUAACAUGGAAAAAUAUGGUAAUGUUUUCCCUCUCAGUGUGUCUGCUAACAAUUAAAAAUUGUAUCUCAAGAUCGAUUUUCUACGGUGGCUCGUCCCCUUGUCUUUGUCAUUUAGCGGUCGCCUUUAUCUCAUUCGAGUGGUUUGGCCUUUCCUCAUGGUUCAAAUUGUGGGUUUCUCCCUUCCCAUCUUCAAGUUGGAUCGUCGAUGGAUUUUGCACCGGCAGAUUUGAACUUCAACAAGAGAGAGAAGAUGCAAUUGCCGUGUUGGUGUUUCUGCAGUUCCCCGAUAGCUUGCAGAGGUUAUGGAUUUGGU